GUGCUCUCUUCGGCAGCACAUGUACUAAAAUGGGAACGAUACAGAGAUUAACAUGGCCCCUGUGCAAGGAUGACAUGCAAAUUUGUGAAGCGUUCCAUAUUUUU